AUUGAACGCUGGCGGCAUGCUUUACACAUGCAAGUCGAACGGCAGCACGGGGGCAACCCUGGUGGCGAGUGGCGAACGGGUGAGUAACACAUCGGAACGUGCCCAGUUGUGGGGGAUAACCUAUCGAAAGGUAGGCUAAUACCGCAUGAGCUCGGGAGAGGAAAGCGGGGGACCUGCAAGGGCCUCGCGCGACUGGAGCGGCCGAUGUCCGAUUAGCUAGUUGGUGAGGUAAAGGCUUACCAAGGCGACGAUCGGUAGCUGGUCUGAGAGGAUGAUCAGCCACACUGGGACUGAGACACGGCCCAGACUCCUACGGGAGGCAGCAGUGGGGAAUUUUGGACAAUGGGGGCAACCCUGAUCCAGCCAUGCCGCGUGAGUGAAGAAGGCCUUCGGGUUGUAAAGCUCUUUCGGUGGGGACGAAACGGUUGCGGUGAAUAGCCGCGAUCAAUGACGGUACUCACAGAAGAAGCACCGGCUAACUACGUGCCAGCCGCCGCGGUAACAC
rnacentral:rRNA from 1 species